AUCUUUCAAUGACCAACUCAACGAUAGACAUUCAGAAAUGUACAACGAAACAGCCAACAACUAUACUAAACUGCUAGCUAAGCAAUAUGAAAACGUAACAAACUUUGUUCAAAUAGAUAUCAAGCAGUUUAGACCAGGCAGUAUUAUAGUGGACUAUGACGUCAUCAUCAAUGCCUUCAC